AGGAGAAGAUGGGGAGGAAAGAAGCCCUUCCUCAGCAGCCACUCGGAGCUCCAGGACCCUUGGCCUUCGCUGUGGGAACUCCUGAAGGACUCCUGGAAGGGGUCACCUCGUCUCUGUCUCCUAGGAGUGGGGACCUCCCCCGGGGGAAGGGGACUCAUCCAGGAGAGCAGGGCCCCAGCCAUGUGCCAGUGUUCUGUGCUAACAUCUCCAGCUGCUGGGUCCCCCUGAACUGAUGGUGAACUGCCAGAGCCAGGGAGCCCACAGAUGCCAACUCCAGCUCCCUUGCCUGAGAGCAGAUACUGUUCUGAAAACUCCCUGGAACAACUCACACUCGCCGCAGUCCUUUGAGGGUCUGCCUCAUGGGACCCAGGGCUGCCUCCUAUGCCUCUCCGUCUGCCUCGUGGGACCCAGGAUUGUCCUCCCUCUGGAUCCUCUCCUGCUUCUCUUACUCAACAGGCCAGAUGCUCUGCGAUGCUUCCCUGGGGUAACAGCAGGAGCUGCCAUCAGGGCUGGUGUCCAGGCAGGCCCAGGGUCAGCAAACAUAUCAGAGGGCCUCUGGUUCUCCUUCAGUCUCAAAAAAUGUUUCUGGGCUGAGACCCACCCACCCUAAGCAGCGCCUCUCACCCUCAAUACCAUCAUUCCCACCCUCCAGGCAGGAGCUGUGGCUGCGCCUGCUUUGGAAACAGGCAAACAAACACUGUGAUGCCAACAGGCAGCUGUGCAGCGGGGCCAGCCCCUCACCACACGCGCGCACACGGUCCAGCCAGGGGCCCAGAUGUGGGAACAGACUGUGCCCAGUUCCCAGGGUGGAAGCCGAAUGAAUUUUCCCUUCCCACUCCUCCCCACAAGGCUUGCCAAAUGCUUUCGGAAUUGGUUGGGGCUCUAGUCCUGGCCAAACCAGAGGAAAAAUGUUUCAUGAUGGGAAAAACAAGACACCAGCCCCGGGCGCGUCCAGGUCUCCACUGGCUCUCCCGAGCCUGGCGUGGCUGAGCUGCAGCGGGGGGCCUGGCCCUGAGCUGGGGCUGAGCUCAGGGAAGAAUUGUUCCGCAGAGCAGUCUGAGGGGGCUCCCCGGUCCUGGCGUGCAGGUGGGUUUAAGGGACGCCCAGGGACCACCUCCCCACGCAAGCCUGAGGACCUCUGAACUUUGCUACAAGUACAACCAACUUUAGCCACUCUUGGUUGGACCUGACUAGAAAGGGUGGUGGGAAGGCAAGAAGGGUCUGAAUUUAGGAUCUGGAAGUUGAGGGCUCUAAGGACAGGUCUGCUACUAACCCAAGCAAGUCUCCGCCUGGUGUGGGGACUCAGUUUCCCUAUGUCUAGUGAGGUGUGGGCCAAGACCAGUGGGUUUCACCUUUUUUGACUGUGGCCCACAAUACAACCCAUGCUGUAACACAGUCCACACGUCUCUAUGUAACUGAAAAGCAGCACCUGCAUCAAGGCUUACAAUGUAUCCUCCUGCUGUCUGUCCCCCACUGCUGUCCAUCCCCACUGCUGUCCAUUCCCCCACUGCUGUCCAUCCCCACUACUGUCCAUUCCCCACUGCUGUCCACCCCCCACUGCUGUCCACCCCCCACUGCUGUCCACCCCCCACUGCAUCUAGAAAUGGCUACAUUCGUUGAAUGAACCACCAGUAGGUUGGGACCCACUGAUUAUAAAACCUGCCUGUAGUCCUGGGCUCUCACCCUGCCA
rnacentral:lncRNA from 1 species